UACGUAGGGGGCUAGCGUUGUCCGGAAUCAUUGGGCGUAAAGCGCGUGUAGGCGGUCCGGUAAGUCCGCUGUGAAAGUCGGGGGCUCAACCCUCGAAUGCCGGUGGAUACUGUCGGGCUAGAGUGCGGAAGAGGCGAGUGGAAUUCCUGGUGUAGCGGUGAAAUGCGCAGAUAUCAGGAGGAACACUAAUUGCGAAGGCAGCUCGCUGGGACGUAACUGACGCUGAGACGCGAAAGCGUGGGGAGCAAACAGG
rnacentral:rRNA from 1 species